CAUAAGCUAAAUAAGGGCGUAUGGGGAAUGCCUAGGCUCUCAGAGGCGAUGAAGGACGUGAUAAGCUGCGAAAAGCUGCGGGGACUGGCACAUACAGGUUGAUCCGCAGAUAUCCGAAUGGGGCAACCCAGCAUACUGAAGGUAUGUUACUCCGCAAGGAGGGCGAACCCGGAGAACUGAAACAUCUAAGUACCCGGAGGAGAAGAAAACAAUAGUGAUUGCGCUAGUAGUGGCGAGCGAACGCGCAUUAGCCCAAACCAGCAAGCUUACGGGCUUGUUGGGGUUGUAGGACCACGAUAUUGGUUGUGUAAUGAACUAGAACGCUUUGGAAAGAGCGGCCAUAGACGGUGAUAGCCCGGUAUAGGUAAAGAACAUAAACCAUAGUGGUAUCCUGAGUAGUGCGGGGCACGAGAAACCCUGUAUGAAUUUGGCGGGACCAUCCGCUAAGGCUAAAUACUCCUGAGAGACCGAUAGUGAACCAGUACCGUGAGGGAAAGGUGAAAAGAACCGUGAAUAACGGAGUGAAAUAGAUCCUGAAACCAUACGCUUACAAGCGGUCGGAGCCCUUUA
rnacentral:rRNA from 1 species